UCUUAGGUCUGACUCAGUCCAGCGCAGCCCAAAUGCAACUUGGGCUACGAAUUUGAACACGGGUGCAUGGGGCCGGUAAAAGCCCCUCUUUUUGGUGGCACUCUCUCUGUCUCGUCUUCCCUCUGAUCUCUGCUCGCGGAGGCUCGACUCGGUGAUCGCGGGAAGAUGUGAUCAAGGAGGAAACAAGUAGAGGGUUGAACCCAGGGUUGGUGGUCUUGCUUGUUGUGGGAGGACUUAUACUGCUCUUCCUCCUCGGAAACUAUGCGCUAUAUAUGUAUGCACAGAAGACCCUUCCGCCAAGAAGGAAGAAGCCAAUCUCAAAAAAGAA